rnacentral:lncRNA from 1 species
CAGGAGGCUGGCUUAAGCAGUGGCUGCCACCAGAGGAGCUCUGCAGGUAGAGCAGGUGCUUUCCUGACAUGGUGGCUGUGAAGGAAGAGGACAAGAGGAGUCAGGAUGCCACGGGACUGCUGGCCCCAUCGAGAGGAUGGAUGGUGCCUGUUAAUGAGAAAGGGUCAUGGGGGAGAUGGGGGCUUGGGAGUCCGGCUCAUUUUACCUGUAUGCAUGUGGAUCUGGGAGCAGGGUCUGGGUCUCACAGAAGGCCACCUGUGCGCCCCACCCUGGCUUCCCUGGAGAAUUCCCUGGAGAAAUGUAUGCAUACACGCCCCAGACGUUCAAGGGCACUGACACCCGCACAGCAGGAGACAGAGAGAUCACCUCUGGGUUGUUUUCACACUAGAAGAGUACACAGCAACGAGGGGGGACAGACUAUGGACACCCUCGGCCAUGUGGCUGGACCCCACAGACCAGGGAUCAAAGAAGGCAGCCAUUUCUGUGAAGUUCAAAAGCAGGCAAGGUGGUAUUCUGUAAACCAAGGAUGCACGCCUGGCAGGGACUCUCUAGAAAGGCAGGGACACGGUGACCCCCAAGAUCAGGGUCGUGAUCACUACUGGGGCCAAGAUCAAGAGGGUGGUGGGGAGGGGGGGAAAUGCAACUCCCAGGGUGCAGUGUUCGCUCUUCCCCUAAGCGGGGCGAAUGUUUGUUCAUCCCACACUGAUAUUAAACCGACAAGUGCACUUAGGCCCAUUUCUGGAGGCACGUUACACUCUGCCGUUAAUAAAGGUUUAAAAGUAGAAGAAUCAUCAAUGUACACAACCAUAUAUACACAAUAGGGCAUCUCAGAGUCAGAUCAUCUGGGGGGAGGCUGCCGUGGAAGAUUCACAGGAGAAUUAAGCUGUGGACGCCCUAGUGGGCCACAGAGGAGGGGAACCUAGGGAGAGAGGAGGCAGAAGUGCCUGGGGGUCCACCCUGGGGGAGAUAUGCUGAACAGCCCUGCCCUCCCGCUGUCCUACUUUCUCCCUCUUCCUCACAAG